rnacentral:lncRNA from 1 species
CUUUUACAGUGGCACUUCUUUUGGGAAGAAUCAUGAGUUAACCGUAAAAGGGUGAAUGUUUUUCCUGUUCAGCAUGACAGUUACUUGAGCUUUCUUUCCUUCCUUCAUUUUCCCCCCUUUUGUUACCUUGCCUUCCUUUCUCUUUGAGGCAGUAUCACAUCACUCUAUAAGAAAUCAUUGCCCUAAUUAGCAGGGCCGGUUCUAAGCCAGUUUGCUUCUAACUGUGAGAACCUGAACCGAUCAAUCCCCCUUUCCUUGUCUGUAGCUCCCUCACUUAACAAAGGGGUUCAGCCUCAAUCACAUCUGGGUAACUUUCUGUUCUAGCACUCCUUUGACUCAAAAAUGAGUCUGGAGCCCAGCAAACGGUACUUAACUCUUCAGACAUCAUGGCAAGUUGGUAGGUCAAAGUAUCCACUCCAGUGUGAGGCUAAGACCCCAAGGCCCAAUAGUUGCUAUAGAUCUUCUUUCUAACAAGGUGCCCAGGGUACCAUUAGGGCUAAUUGAGUGUUCAGAGACCACCAGUUCCCAAAAAUAAGCGAUCUUCCUCACUCCUCAACAAGUUUCAGAGGGACUAAUUAAUUAGGCAAUUUCAAAUAAGAAAACUUCCCAGGUGAUCAUUGAUGUGCAGCUCUGAAACUUAUCUCCGGAGACCCCACAAGUCACACAGCAAAGAGCACGGUUGCUAAGGACAGAGAAUGGCUUUGUAAAUUGGUGAAGGUCAACAUGACUGCUUCACUAGCUGCUGUCCUGUCUUCUUUGGAUUUAUCCCCUUAGGUUACAAAAUAAAAUAACACAAACAUACUCCAGUUCAGCCAAAGUUAGCAAACCCAGGAGAUCAAGUUAACUUGUGAAGUGGGAAGCCUGCAGAAAGGCUACCAUUUCAACCCUCUUUAUAUGGAAGAUCGGGGGUCUUUUAGAAGGAGCCUCUAGGUUAGAACAGUUCCUGAUCAUGAACAAGUUAUUUAAAACUCUUGGGUUGCAUGUCCUCCAAAUGUAAAGAGAGGCUCAGGAAGAGUAAUCCCAGUGGCGCGUUCCGCGAGCUGUCGCGUGCAUGUGCCUGGAACACGGUAAGAGUGCAGCAGCUGCUCGGCCUCAGCACUGGUAGCCGUCACCGUCAUAGCCACCACUGCCGUUUUCACCCAGGCUCUUUAUUACAUCAGCUCCUACCAGGUCCCCCUGCGUCUCCUCACCCCCUUCAUCCCGACGAUCUUGUGCAGAGCCAGCUCCCCAACUGGACGCGGCUGACACAUCAAGACCGUCAUCCCCGGACGUGCACCUCGCAGCUGCUGCCCGUGAAUUGCGUCAGUGCAGAAAUGCUGUUUGUUUUCUUCAUUUCCGUACAAAGCAACGGGAUCAGUGCCUGGCACAUAGAAGCUCAAUAA